CCAAAAAAAAAUCAAAAGGGUUUUGGUGCUGAAUUAGGGCAGCGCAAUCAUAUGGAAUAGGGCAUGUAGUUGUAUUUAACUACGGAAUUGCCAUCAGGCUUUUGCUAACUAGAUAGAUGCUUAUUGAGCUUGUGGGCUGUAACUUUCUUAUUUCCAUUCCCCUCCUUUUUGUGUUUGGUUUUCUUUAAUGAUGAGAAACAGGAUUACAUCUGUCAAAUAUUAGUCUUUCAGGCAUAGCAUGUGUACCAAAUAGAUGGAAAGAAUUACAGUCGUGAGUUCAUUUGUAUUAUUAAAAAAAAUUCCAUGACAACUUAAUGGUGUUUUUUGGGGAUUUUAUGUUGAAUCUUUCUUCAAAAUCUGCAUUGCAUAAACUAGGACUUUCCAUACAUUUUCUUAUUUGGUGCAACCUGGAUCAAAUUUCAGAAUAUGAUACGUAAGUAAAUAAGUACAAGAUUUCAAUCCACCAGAACUCCUUAUGACUGUCAAUCUGCCCAGAAAUACUUCCAUUUCAAUUAUAAAAACUUAUAAUUUUAACUGCCAUAAAUUAUGACCUGCGAUUCACAAUUUUUUCAGCUCUUUCCAAUCCUUGCCGUUUUGUUGAUGAAGAAAAAGUAUGGAAGAGGUAAAACAGAGAGUAGGCUGCAUACUUCAAAAUCUCUAACUCCUAUACUUCAAAAUCAAUUUUGGGGUUCUUCUUGUUUUACAGCAGUUUUGGCCAUAACGAGAUUCACGACAAUUUACUGCCAUAAAUCUUACGAAAAGCUUGAGACCAAGUACUUUUUCUUUGUUUGAGGUGCGUUAUGUUCAUUCGAUGGUUGAUAAAGCAAAAUCACUCGGUGAUCAGAGGAUUUUUACAUAUUUCGUUCAAUGGUGCAGAGUGAAGGAGAAAGAUGCUUGACAUAUGUGUACGAGGCUGAUAUUAUGGUCAAGAGAUAAUGAGACCAACGUUAUCUGUAUAAUGAUGUAAAUGCUGAAAUUAGUGAUGAAAGUUCAGAGGAAGAUGAACCCUCAAAAGAUGAUGAUGAGAGUGAACCUGAUGAAGAUAUCGAUGAUACUAGUGUAAGUCUUCAUAACCACAUGAACAGGGUGUGUCUGAAAUGCAAAAUUAUGAUAUAACAUUGGAGAAUGAGGAAGACAUUUUCAUGUCUACAUGUGAAUCUGAGAUGGAAUAUGGUUCUGUUUGGUCUAAGGAAGCCGCAAAAGACUUGAAAAAAGCUAUGUUUUUUAGUAGUAAAGAAAAGUUGAAAGAAAUGGGCUAUAACGAUUUGGAGUUUGCAUAAGAAUAAAGAAUUCAAGGUGGUAACAUCAACCAAGAGUCUAUAGGCUGUGAGAUGCAAAUUUUAUAAUUUAUUGGGUUGCUUGUGGUUUCUUCGAGACCAAAAGGUUGGAGAUAACAUUUGGAAGAUAGGAGGACGAAAGGUUGGGGAUAACAAUGAAUUGAGGUAUGUUGUAUUUUUGUAUGUUGACUCUUAGAUUUCCGUUGGUAAAUUUGCUAACUACAAUUCAGUUGGUAUUCUAUUACAGACUGUACUAACCAAUAGAUUUAUUAACUUAUUUUCUAUCGCAAAUUUUUGAGGCAUGAAAAAGAAUUGUAACAAAGAUUGGUCAUUUUCAAUU